AAGCCGACCCGACCCGUAAUUUUGUUUUUGCCAAAUUUUUUAAUGAAAAUAUGGCCACUAUCAACAUGAAUAGAUGUGGCGAGUACUGGUUCUCGAGUUCUCUGCGCAGCUGUGGGAAAUGAUUGUGGUGGUCUAGGGCGAAGGUAUUGCUAGAUUGAGGUUUGAACUGAUUUAGCCACCGGUUGCACGUGGCAACAAUGAUGAGGUCUGCAACUUGUUCGAGUUGUGCCAUCGACCCUUUAUCCUUGUUUUAUUUGUAGAAUGGGUUUCAUCCAUGCACAGUACAUCUUUUUUUCCUGCUUUUGUUAUGGUCUCUUGUGUAAUUUCUCAAUUUCAUUUUUUUUU